rnacentral:rRNA from 1 species
GAUGAACGCUGGCGGCGUGCCUAAUACAUGCCAGUCGAGCGAACGGACGAGAAGCUUGCUUCUCUGAUGUUAGCGGCGGACGGGUGAGUAACACGUGGAUAACCUACCUAUAAGACUGGGAUAACUUCGGGAAACCGGAGCUAAUACCGGAUAAUAUUUUGAACCGCAUGGUUCAAAAGUGAAAGACGGUCUUGCUGUCACUUAUAGAUGGAUCCGCGCUGCAUUAGCUAGUUGGUAAGGUAACGGCUUACCAAGGCAACGAUGCAUAGCCGACCUGAGAGGGUGAUCGGCCACACUGGAACUGAGACACGGUCCAGACUCCUACGGGAGGCAGCAGUAGGGAAUAUUCAGCAAUGGGCGAAAGCCUGACGGAGCAACGCCGCGUGAGUGAUGAAGGUCUUCGGAUCGUAAAACUCUGUUAUUAGGGAAGAACAUAUGUGUAAGUAACUGUGCACAUCUUGACGGUACCUAAUCAGAAAGCCACGGCUAACUACGUG